UAAAUUAUAUGCAAAACUUUCGUUAUUCGAAAAUAUUAUAAACAAGAAUGUAUGUAUCAAUCAAGUCGAAAGACAAAAUAUAUAUGUAAUUGCUGGACAGUGAACUUAUCACGGUUGCUAAGGAAUAUCUUGGCGACAACUGGCCUUUUUGAGUCGCGUAAUAUUCCCUAAGAUCGGUUACCGGCUUUAAGUCCUGAUCUGUAUUUAAUAGAGCAUUUAUGGGCCAUACUUUUAGCAAUUUUUUUUUAGCUGAACAAAGCAGUAUAACAGCUCAAUACAGCUAAAACAAACCAUUGAGGAAUGAGCUGAUUUUGGAUGUUAUUAAGUUAUUUUUUUAUUUUGAUAACCUAGAAUAUUCAAGUAUUUUAAUUUUUUAAAUUUAUGUUCUGUAUUUUCAAGAGGUUGCGAUGCCCGAAUUCUAUGGUGAAUCUACAAAUUCAAAAUCGACUUGACCUAAGGACUUGAAAUCAGUAGGGUGCGCUCAGCACAUGUAAACGCAUGGAACGCUCUAUUACACUAUAUGACACAAUUUUUUCUGUAAAAAAUGUAAAUUUUCCUGGAGAAUAGAAUAAUUCAUAAGUAAAAAAAGUAUGCUCUCCGUUUUUCGAAAUUUAGCUUACUGGAAACGCCAUUAUUAAUUCUAGUAUGUAUGUACAUACAUACAUAUGUUACCAAAAAAGUAAAAAUAUGGGCAUAAUCUACCUUACCUUUUUAUUCAAUUGGCAUACAUAUAAGUAGGCGAGGUUGAAUCUUUGAAAAAUAAUUCAAAAAUUUAAAUUAAAAAAAAUAAUGGCACAAUUUUUUAAAAACUAACGCUUUUUAGUUAUGGCUCAAUCUCCCAUAAAAAUUAAGUUUGAUCCAAUACCCAGCCGACUGAUGUACGGUGUUAUCAAUCAAAAAUUACCAACAUUUUGAUUUUUUUAUAUGUACAUAUGUAUGAAAAAACUUAAAAAAAAACUAAAUUGGCAAUUUAUUUUUUUUUUCAAAUGUCUACCAAAAGUUUAAUUUUUGCCAAUCAUCCGGAAUUGUGGAGAAGGAAGUGCGAGAACAUUUUUUCGAGGCGGGGCGAUUCAGAACGUUGUAACUCAUAUUCAAUAUAAUAUUUUUAUAUUUGUAUAUAAGUAUGUACUGUCUAAAUAUAUGUUAAAUAGGCUGUCACAUGGGCAACUUUCUUUUACUAUAUAUUUUAAACGUAUUUAAUUCUUUUAUUGCAAAAAAUAUAUGUACGUUUUUAUUUAAACCUUACAUUGCCCGUAGAGGAAAAAAAAUUAAAAUUAAAAAGCACGCUUGGUAAAAAUUCACUAAAUAUAAACAAACGCACUGUUCUAAAAGAAAAAUAGAUCAAGAUCGUUGUGAUAUUUAAUCCUUUUUCAAUAAGUAAAGUUUACCACUUCGAGCAAUAAAUUUUGUAAUGCAAACUUUUGGAUCGAAAUAAAAAACGUAUACAAUAAGCUUUUUCAAACACCGCAUGCAUAUUAUAUGAAGUAGAGGUCCCGUUAUAUUUAUAUAUUAAAAUAUCCUAUUGGAAUUGUUUUAACAGCAAUACCGAAAUUGAGUCUUUGCAGUAUGUAACAUGACUGCCACACGGCCAGGUAUACGGUUAAAACAUAGGAAUAAAUACAGUACCUACAUAUAUACCUUGAAAGUCGGAUUAAAACCUCGUUCUUCGAUCAUGUCUGCCCCAAAUGAUGUCAUUUGAAAACAACCGUUGUAUUUUUUUGCUAGAAAAUGUCUUGAUUCUGGUGUGUUAUGCAAACUGUAAUCAAUACAGCAAUCGUAUUAAAACGCUUCUCGAUUCAAAUCACUAUUUGAAAAAUUUCUUCUUGAGCUUCGCAAAUAAUCUAUUUGUUCGACGAUAGACGAUUUCGCAUAGCUAACCUAGCCGUUUAUUCACGUUGUCGUCACGAAAAUGGAUUAAAAAGUAUCCUAUUUUCUGCCCCUGGUCCUAAGCUACCUCCAAACCAAAUUUAUGUCAAAUCGGUUCAGCCAUUCUUUAUCUAUAAAUAAUUGAACUAACACGACUUUCUUUUAUAUAUAUAGAUUUAUUAAUAUCUAAAAAAAUCAAUAAUGAAUAAAAUAUGCAAAGGAUAAAUAAAAAAAUAGAAAAAUAACAGUGCACAAAUAUCAAUUUUACUGAGGUAGGUUUUACUAAGUGUGCUGGGAUAAAAAAUAAGGUAACAAAAUGAGCGAAAUGAGACCAAAAUAAUAAGGGUACUCAUUUGAUGUUCUUCUUCUUCUUGACUGGCGUAGACACCGCUUACGCGGUUAUAGCCGAGUCCAAAACAGCGCGCCACGUAUCCCUCCUUCUGGCAGUUUGGCGCCAAUUGGUUAUACCAAGCGAAGCCAGGUCCCUCUCCACCUGGUCCUUCCAUCGGAGUGGAGGUCUCCCUCUUCCUCGGCUUCCACCAGCGGGUACUGCAUCGAAUACUUUCAGAGCUGGAGCACUUUCAUCCAUUCGAACAACAUGACCUAGCCGCUGUUUUUUUAUUCGCUGGACUACAUAUGUCUAUGUCAUCAAAUAACACAUACAGCUCAUCGUUCCAUCGUCUGCGGUAUUCGUCGUUGCCAAUUCUUAAGGGACCAUAAAUCUUCCGCAAAACCUUUCUCUCGAAAACUCCUAGUGCCGUCUCAUCGGAUGUUGACAUCGUCCACGCUUCUGCACCGUAAAGUAGGACGGGAAUGAUGAGAGACUUGUAGACUUUGGUUUUUGUUCGUCGAGAGAGGACUUUACUUUUCAAUUGCCUACUUAGUCCAUAGUAGCACCUGUUGGCAAGAGUGAUUCUGCGUUGGAUUUCCAGGCUGACAUUGUUAUUGCUGUUAAAGCUGGUUCCCAGGUAGACGAAAUUAUCUACAACUUCAAAGUUAUGACUGUCAACAGUGACGUGGGAGCCAAGACGCGAAUGCGCUGACUGUUUGUUUGAUGACAGGAGAUAUUUCGUCUUGUCCUCGUUCACCACCAGACCCAUACGCUUCGCUUCCUUAUCCAGUCUGGAAAAAGCAGAACUAACGGCGAGGGUGUUGUUUCCAACGAUAUCGAUAUCAUCGGCGUACGCCGGUAGCUGUACACUCUUGUGGAAGAUUGUACCUUCUCUAUUUAGCUCUGCAGCUCUUAUAAUUUUUUUCCAGCAUCAAGUUAAAGAAGUCGCACGAUAGUGAGUCACCUUGUCUGAAACCUCGUCUGGUAUCGAACGGCUCGGAGAGGUCCUUCCCGAUCCUGACGGAGCUUUUGGUGUUGCUCAAUGUCAGCUUACACAGCCGUAUUAGUUUUGCGGGGAUACCAAAUUCAGACAUCGCGGCAUAAAGGCAGCUCCUUUUCGUGCUGUCGAAAGCAGCUUUAAAGUCGACAAAGAGAUGGAGUGUGUCGAUCCUUUUUUCACGGGUCUUCUCCAAAAUUUGGCGCAUGGUGAAUAUCUGGUCUGUUGUUGAUUUUCCAGGUCUAAAGCCACACUGAUAAGGUCCAAUCAGUUUGUUGACGGUGGGCUUUAGUUUUUCACACAAUACGCUCGACAGAACCUUAUACGCGAUGUUGAGGAGGCUUAUCCCACGGUAAUUGGCGCAAAUUGUGGGGUCUCCCUUUUUGUAUAUAGGGCAGAGUACAGUGAGAUUCCAAUCGUCAGGCAUGCUUUCUUCCGACCAUAUUCUGCAAAGAAGCUGAUGCAAGCACCUUAUCAGCUCUUCGCCGCCGUAUUUGAAUAGCUCGGCCGGUAAUCCAUCGGCCCCCGCUGCCUUAUUGUUCUUCAAGCGGGUAAUUGCUAUUCGAAUUUCUUCACGGUCGGGCAAUGGAACAUCUGCUCCAUCGUCGUCGAUUGGGGAAUCGGCUUCGCCAUCUCCUGUUGUUGUACUUUCACUGCCAUUCAGCAGGCUGGAGAAGUGUUCCCUCCACAAACUCAGUAUACUCUGGUCACCAAUAACUAGAUCACCUCUGGGGGUCCUACAGGAGUGUGCUCCGGUCUUGAAACCUUCAGUUAGUCGCCGGAUCUUUUCGUAACAUUUUCGAGCAGUACCUCUGUCGGCCAGCUUGUCAAGCUCUUCAUACUCACGCAUUUCGGCCUCUUUCUUUUUUUGUCUACAAAUGCGUCUCGCUUCCCUAUUCAGCUCUCGGUAUCUUUCCCAUCCCGCUCGUGUUCGGUCGAUCGCAACAUUGCGAGGUAGGCAGUCUGUUUUCUCUCCACUGCGAGACGGCAAUCCUCAUCAUACCAGCUGUUUUUUUGACUUUUCCGAAAACCAAUGGUUUCGGUUGCAGCUGUAUGUAAGGAGUUUGAUAUGCCGUCCCACAGCUCCCUUAUACCGAGAUGCUGAUGAGUGCUCUCAGAGAGCAGGAGUGCAAGUCGAGUAGAAAAUCGUUCAGAUGCGCUCAUAGGUACGUUCUAGGCGCUCAUAGAAGGUAUCUUUGAUCACUUCGUCCUUCUCUUCCGUCGGGGCGUGGGCGCAAAUCAGCGAUAUGUUGAAGAACCUCGCUUUGAUGCGGAUUGUGGCUAGACGUUCAUCCAGCGGAGUGAAUGCCAGGACUCGACGACGGAGUCUCUCUCCCACCACGAAUCCCACACCGAAUUUGCGCUCCUUUAUAUGACCGCUGUAGUAGAUGUCACAAGGACCCACCUUCUUCCGUCCUUGUCCCGUCCAUCGCAUUUCUUGGAUUGCGGUGAUGUCAGCCUUUACUCUUACGAGGACAUCAACCAGCUGGGCAGAGGCACCUUCGCAAUUAAGGGUCCGGACAUUCCAGGUGCUUGCCCUUAAUUCGUAGUCCUUUAAACGUUUGCAGCGGUCGUCAUCAAAAUGGGGGUCUCUCAUCCGAGGCUGGUUAGUUCUUUUCGUUGUGUUUUUAUGUGGUGGGUCCCAAACCCUACGCACAACCGCAUAAGCGGGUUUCGCCUUCUCACUUUAGCUCGCCUCCAAACGGAUGUCUGUUGGCUACCCAGAUACUUGGUCUAAGACCGGAAGUCGUGAGCUGCUUGAGCCACAUGCAAAAGAAUCGUUACUGGCCACUCCCAAGUGAAUGACAGUCAGAAACUUUCCUCGCUUACGUGAACUUUCACAUAUGACUCCAUCCGGAACAGAACUUUGCAUAAAUACUGCAUUUAUAGUGUGGCAGCCCCUUUCUUAAAAUCGCCGAAAUCGGACCAUAGGUUUUCAAGGCCCCAUAAAUCGAACAUGAGGACCUCGGUGCUUCUUACCCAGUAUUAGGGUUUCCAACUUUCAACGGCUUUUAUACCAUAUAUAUGACCAAUAUGUGGGCCAAAUUUUGUAUUAUAUAAUAUUAAAUAAAUAAAUUGCGAGAGAGAAUGUUCGGUCACAACCGAACUUAGCCCUUCUUUACUUCUUUAUUUGUAGAAAGUAGCCAAGAAUAAUAAAAAGCAAAAAUCUUUAAAAAUUAUGAAAAGUAGGAAAUAUAUUUGCCAUUUUAUUACAAAUGCGCGAGUUUUAUUAUUUGGGCAGUACACUUAUUUUCGUGUUGCCUUUUUUAUUAUUUUAUUCAUAAUUUCUUACUGACUACAUUUUAUAAUCUUAGUGCUAUUUAUACUAAUGGAAUGCGGCUGCUGUUAUCUGCAUGCAACUUCUAUGUUGUAAUUCGAUAUCCAUUAUCUUGCUAGAACAAAUAUAGUUUUGUUAUGCUUAUCAGUUUUUCGUUAUGGAAUUCUGUCUGUUGUGUUUAUAAUGCAGAAAUUUUUAUUGUUUGUUUAGGUUAAGUGUGAGAUUUACUAAUGCCCGGUUUCACAGUUCGUACUUAAGUUGUGCCCAAAUAAAAACUUAGCUAAGCAUUGUUAUUGACUGAGUAGUCAUUUGCGUUUCACAGUCGAUGCUUAUUUUCUAUAAAAUUCUAUUACGAUAUAUGGCAGCACAAUGAAAAACAUUUGUUUACAAAUACCAUCUGACAAAUUGAAAUUAUUGUUGAUGAAAAAUAACUUUGCGACGAAUAAAUUUAGAAUCUGGGAAAUGGAUGGAAACAAUAAAAGGACACCGAAUUUCACCGCAAGCGAGUGGGGGCACCUAUUGCAACUCGCAGGAAAGCAUUGAAUGCAAGAAAUUCCAAAAAAUAUACAUUAAAUAAGCUACAUUUAGUUUCAAGGAUAGGAUAUUUGUAUAUUGUUAUAAUUGCUUGUUGUAGGUAAUAUAUAUGAAUGUUGCCAUAUUCUGAUAUAUUAAUUAUUGGAAGAUCUAACUUUUCAUGGUUUAUUAAAUAAUGCACAUCAAUCAAGUUAAGUGUGCCAGAGUAAAAUUUUUUAUUUUUCGCGAAAUUAAUAGUGUUAGUUAUUGAUUUUAGUUAAUUAUAAACUUCUGAUAUAACAAUGCUUUCGGUUAUUGCUUUGGGGUCAAGGCUUUCGAAUAUUCUUUCGAACUAUGAAUUAAUUAAGUUUUGCUUAUUAUUAUUUUAUAUUAGAAAAUUAAGUGAAGUUUUGAUUUCCACUAGGUCAUCGUGGUCUGGUGUGCCAGUGAUGAAUUUUAACAUGGAACCAAGAAAGUUAGGUGAUCUUUUUGGUCUAUAAAUAUUGGGAAUGAUAUUGUCGCAUAAUGCGAUAGGGAAAAGUAAAAAGAAAAUUAUUCCAUAUAUGCCUUUACUCUAUAUUAUCCUUAUGGAUAAUCCGUCCUUUAUUAGUCGAUACAGUUUUUCCGUUAUCUUUUUUUACAACGAGCUUCGCGUAUUUUCUUACGUUCUUAUUACGCCUGUGCGUCUUGAAAAUAUUACGUCACCUGGAUUAUAGUUCAGCUGCUUUCGAUUGCGAUUAUGAUGACGCAAGACUCUUUCCUGGUUUUGUUGUAUUCGUUCUUGGAUGUCGGGAUACCCCCUUUGAUUAUAAAACACGUCCUCGGGUUUCUCGUUGGUAACGGAAUGUAUGGUUUGGUUGUACUGCCGAACAACUUCGAAAAUUUGGUCUUCCGGUGCUGAAUUAUCCUGGUCAGCUAAAACUUGUGCGAUUUCGAUAAUUGUGCUAUGCGUCCUUUCAACUUGACCGUCUGUAGUAGAAUGGAAUGCUGGCGUUUUUGUGUGCGUUAUUUGUAAUCGUUUGUAGAUUUGUUGUGCACAUAUGCUUGUAAACGAUAGAUCGUUAUCAGUCAUUAAAAAUUUUGCGUUUGGGUAUAUUUAUGAAAGAAUCUCGUCGACGUAUUUGUCCGUUGAGCUAAUGUAUACGUUAUCGCUCAUGUAGAAUAAGUCUAAGUGUAUGUAUUCGCCUACUUUGUUUGGCGUUGGUGCGGAACCAAUUGGUUGUUUGUUUGGUCGGCGUUCGUAUUUGUUUGUGAGACAGAUUUCACAGUCUUGUACUUCUUUUUUACAAGCGUUACGUAUGUUUGGCCAGUAAUAUUUUAGGGAAAUUUCCUCCUGUAGUUUAUGUGUGCACAUUUAUGUAUGUCA